UACGGGGGGGGUAAGCGUUGUUCGGAAUUACUGGGCGUAAAGGGCUCGUAGGCGGCCAACUAAGUCAGACGUGAAAUCCCUCAGCUUAACUGGGGAACUGCGUCUGAUACUGGAUGGCUUGGAUUCGGGAGAGGGAUGCGGAAUUCCAGGUGUAGCGGUGAAAUGCGUAGAUAUCUGGAGGAACACCGGUGGCGAAGGCGGCAUCCUGGACCGGUAUUGACACUGAGGCGCGAAAGCCAGGGGAGCAAACGGG
rnacentral:rRNA from 1 species